ensembl:snRNA U1 U1 spliceosomal RNA
AUACUUACCUGGCAGGGGAGAUACCAUGAUCAGGAAGGUGGUUUUCCCAGGGCGAGGCCUAUCCAUUGCACUCGGGAUGUGCUGACCCCUGCGAUUUCCCCAAAUGUGGGAAACUCGACUGCAUAAUUUGUGGUAGUGGGGGACUGCGUUCGCGCUCUCCCCUG